rnacentral:rRNA from 1 species
GGGCCCGCACAAGCGGUGGAGCAUGUGGUUUAAUUCGAUGAUACGCGAGGAACCUUACCAGGGCUUAAAUGCAGAACGACCGGGGUGGAAACACCCCUUUCUUCGGACGGUCUGCAAGGUGCUGCAUGGUUGUCGUCAGCUCGUGCUGUGAAGUGUCGGGUUAAGUCCCAUAACGAGCGCAACCCCUAUUUCUAGUUGCCAGCGGUUCGGCCGGGGACUCUAGAGAAACUGCCAGCGUAAGCUGUGAGGAAGGUGGGGAUGACGUCAAAUCAUCACGGCCCUUACAUCCUGGGCCACACACGUGCUACAAUGGUGGGGACAACAGGUUGCCAACCCGCGAGGGUGAGCCAAUCCCAAAACCGAUCGUAGUCCGGAUUGCAGUCUGCAACUCGACUGCAUGAAGCUGGAAUC